AUUGCAUAGUGUGGAUAUUUUCUGAUGAGGUCCUUAAGCCUUUCCCAUGUUUCAUGAAACAUCUCUCCAUCCAUUUGAAAGAAACCGGUGAUGGCUUUCCUAAUUU